rnacentral:rRNA from 1 species
UGGGGAAUAUUGGACAAUGGGCGAAAGCCUGAUCCAGCAAUUCCGCGUGUGUGAAGAAGGCCUUCGGGUUGUAAAGCACUUUAGUGGGGGAAGAAACAGCUUGGCCACACCAAGCCUUGACGGUACCCCAAGAAUAAGCACCGGCUAACUCUGUGCCAGCAGCCGCGGUAAUACAGAGGGUGCAAGCGUUAAUCGGAUUUACUGGGCGUAAAGGGUGCGUAGGUGGUUUUUUAAGUCGGAUGUGAAAGCCUUGGGCUCAACCUCAGAAUUGCAUUCGAUACUGGGAAACUAGAGUUCGGUAGAGGGCGGCGGAAUUUCCGGUGUAGCGGUGAAAUGCGUAGAUAUCGGAAGGAACAUCAAUGGCGAAGGCAGCCGCCUGGGCCUGGACUGACACUGAGGCACGAAAGCGUGGGUAGCAAACA